rnacentral:snRNA from 1 species
UUGCCUCAGGAGCACAUAUACUUAAAUUGGAACUAUACAGACAAGAUUAGCAUGACCCUGCACAAAGAUGACACUCAGAUUCGUGAAGUGAUUUGUAUAUUU